rnacentral:Y_RNA from 1 species
GGCUGGACAGAAGGUAGUGAGUUAUCUCACUGGAUUGUUCACAGUCAGUCACAAAUUGAACUCUUUGUUGUACUACUUUCCCUCUUCUCACUACUUCACUGUGACUAGUCAAAA